rnacentral:rRNA from 1 species
AUCUACCUCUUUGUGGGGAAUAACCCUGGGAAACCGGGGCUAAUACCGCAUAAGCCUGAGAAGGGAAAGCGAGCAAUCGCGCAGAGAGAGGAGCCCGCGGCCGAUUAGCUAGUUGGUGAGGUAAUGGCUCACCAAGGCGGUGAUCGGUAGCCGGCCUGAGAGGGCACACGGCCACACUGGCACUGAAACACGGGCCAGACUCCUACGGAAGGCAGCAGUGGGGAAUCUUGCACAAUGGAGGCAACUCUGAUGCAGCGACGCCGCGUGAACGAUGAAGCCCUUCGGGGUGUAAAGUUCUUUCGGCAGGGACGAUAAUGACGGUACCUGAAGAAGAAGCUGCGGCUAACUACGUGCCA